GACAGAGGGUGCGAACGUUGUUCGGAAUUACUGGGCGUAAAGCGCGUGUAGGCGGCAGCGCAAGUCGGGCGUGAAAUCCCACGGCUCAACCGUGGAAGUGCACUCGAAACUGCGCAGCUAGAGUCCUGGAGAGGAAGGUGGAAUGCUUGGUGUAGAGGUGAAAUUCGUAGAUAUCAAGCGGAACACCGGUGGCGAAGGCGACCUUCUGGACAGUGACUGACGCUGAGACGCGAAAGCGUGGGGAGCAAACAGG
rnacentral:rRNA from 2 species